rnacentral:rRNA from 1 species
AACGAACGCUGGCGGCGCGCCUAACACAUGCAAGUCGAACGAGAAGGCGUAGCAAUACGCUUGUAAAGUGGCGAACGGGUGAGGAAUACGUGGGUAACCUACCCUCGAGUGGGGAAUAACCAACCGAAAGGUUGGCUAAUGCCGCGUACGCUUCCAUUCUUUCGGGGGUGGAAGGAAAGCUGUACCGUGGGUACAGCGCUCAAGGAUGGGCUCACGUCCUAUCAGCUUGUUGGUAGGGUAACGCCUACCAAGGCAACGACGGGUAGCUGGUCUGAGAGGACGAUCAGCCACACUGGCACUGCGACACGGGCCAGACUCCUACGGGAGCAGCAGUGAGGAUAUUGCGCAAUGGGCAAAGCCUGACGCAGCGACGCCGCGUGGGGAUGAAGGUCUUCGGAUUGUAAACCCC